rnacentral:rRNA from 1 species
CCUACGGGCUGCUGCAGUAGGGAAUCUUCCACAAUGGGCGAAAGCCUGAUGGAGCAACGCCGCGUGGGUGAAGAAGGUCUUCGGAUCGUAAAACCCUGUUGUUAGAGAAGAAAGUGCGUGAGAGUAACUGUUCACGUGUCGACGGUAUCUAACCAGAAAGCCACGGCUAACUACGUGCCAGCAGCCGCGGUAAUCCGGAGGUGGCAAGCGUUAUCCGGAUUUAUUGGGCGUAAAGGGAACGCAGGCGGUCUUUUAAGUCUGAUGUGAAAGCCUUCGGCUUAACCGGAGUAGUGCAUUGGAAACUGGUAGACUUGAGUGCAGAAGAGGAGAGUGGAACUCCAUGUGUAGCGGUGAAAUGCGUAGAUAUAUGGAAGAACACCAGUGGCGAAAGCGGCUCUCUGGUCUGUAACUGACGCUGAGGUUCGAAAGCGUGGGUAGCAAACAGGAUUAGAUACCCCGGUAGUC